UUCGCCCUUUGGAGGGCAAGUCUGGUGCCAGCAGCCGCGGUAAUUCCAGCUCCAAUAGCGUAUAUUAAAGUUGUUGCAGUUAAAAAGCUCGUAGUUGAAUUUCGGGAUCAAUGUUUCGGUCAUGCCCUUGGUAUGUACUGAUAUUAUUGGUUUCUCACCUUCUAAAGAACCGUAAUGCCAUUAAUUUGGUGUCACGGGGAAUUAGGACUGUUACCUUGAAAAAAUUAGAGUGUUUAAAGCAGGCUCACGCUUGAAUACAUUAGCAUGGAAUAAUGAAAUAGGACAUCCGAUUCUAUUUUGUUGGUUUCUAGGAUCGAUGUAAUGAUUAAUAGGGAUAGUUGGGGGCAUUAGUAUUCAAUUGUCAGAGGUGAAAUUCUUGGAUUUAUUGAAGACUAACUACUGCGAAAGCAUUUGCCAAGGAUGUUUUCAUUAAUCAAGAACGAAAGUUAGGGGAUCGAAGACGAUCAGAUACCGUCGUAGUCUUAACCAUAAACUAUGCCGACUAGGGAUCGGAUGAUGUUAAUUUUUUAAUGACUCAUUCGGCGCCUUACGGGAAAC
rnacentral:rRNA from 1 species